AAGGUGCUCCGCCCUUCCACUCCCCGCCCCGUGCUGCUGUCAUUCCCACGCCUCACCCUGUUUUGCAACUUCUUGUUUAUGAGCCUGGAAGCCACGAAGUGGUGGGAAAUACGAGAUUCAAAUAUCUGGUGGCCGUGUGACGUGAGUAAAUUACUCGAUUUUUCUCAGUUUCCAUUUCCUAUCAAAUGGGUUGUUCUGGGAAUUCGGGGAAGUAACAGUGCCGGGAACCGCGGGAGGAACCGCCAGCUGCGUCCUCGGACGUCCCCAAAGCCCAGGGCGGCGACUGGCACGACUGUCAGGGGCGCGUCUGUUAAGAGGACAGGGGGUCCCGCCCCGGCACAGCCGUCUCCUCCAGGACCCCUCCCGCCGACGCCCCACGGACCCCACGCCCGAGCGGAGACCGGCGCGAGUCCGGGGUCUCCGGUCCGGCAGCCCCUCCCUGGCCCGGCGCCCCAAAGGGAAGCGGCCUGGGGGAGGAGACGUGUGGAAAGAGCGGCAGAAGAUAAAGAGGAAGUAGCGGUAGAGAAUAAAAAGGAACUGUCCGCAGUGUGCCCGGACGCGGGGAGGCGCUGGGGUCAAGCGAGACCCGACCUGCACGCAAUUCCCGCCGGGGUCCCGGCCUGCCUGCGGGAGGGAAAGGACCCAGGGCGGCUUCUGCCAAAAGUGCGGCUUCUGCCGAAAGUGCGUCUUCUGCCGAGGGGCCCACAUAAGGCGCGACAGACACUCCAGCCCGACCCCGACGCCCCGCCCUCACGCAUGCACAUGCGCGGAACACUCCCAGAAACACAUCUCCCAGAGCGCCCCGGGAGCACGCGAGCCAAUUGGAGGGCGGAUUAGCGGGGGCCCACGUCUCCCAGAGGUCUCCGAGUCGCGGCUCUGUUGGUCUGAUUGGCAGCCGCAACAGCCUAUAGCUGCUUUUCGCCGGAGGGGCCACGCGCCGUUUGCCGGGACUGAGCCGCUGUUGUCGCUGGUAUCCCGGGAGCAGCGCCGGCAAGUGGAGUCGUCGUAUUCCGGGCGGCCCGCGGCCCACGGGGAUGGGACGUCCCGGGGCUGUGCUGACCCCAAAACCCUUCCACACUUUAUUAGCCUGUCGCCCUUCUUUCAUGUUUACAGCAAAUAUUUUCCGAGUGCCUAAUGUGUCCCACUUACUGUGCCACGUGCGAGGGUGCACGUGUCAGGCAAGAUCGCUGUUCCAAGGAGGCUGAGAACAAGUAAAUGGUAAUUACCAGUUAUGACCAAAGCUGUGAAAGGAACAGAUACAUCAGCCUAACAGCAGCACUGCCGUUUUCUCCCUUAUAAUCAGCAGAGGCGGGCUAGAGCAAGGAUUCUCAAACUCUGCCCCCUCAGAACCCUAGAGUACGGUUGCUGAAACUUCUGUUUUUUCCUUUUGAACAAAUCUAGUAACAUGCUGUGAGCCAGAGAGGUAAUGGUUUGGCUCAAAGAAGGCACAUGCAUCUGGUUUCUUUCUUCUUUUUUGAGACGGAGUCUCGCUCUGUCGUCCAGGCUGGAGUGCAGUGGCGCCAUCUCCGCUCACUGCAAGCUCCGCCUCGCGAGUUCACGCCAGUCUCCUGCCUCAGCCUUCCGAGUAGCUGGGAUUACAGGCGCCCGCCACCACGCCCGGCUAAUUUUCACGCCCGGCUAAUUUUUUGUAUUUUUAGUAGAGACGGGGUUUCACCAUGUUAGCCAGGAUGGUCUCGCUCUCCUGACCUCGUGAUCCGCCCGCUUCGGCCUCCCAAAGUGCUGGGAUUACAGGCGUGAGCCACCGCGCCCGGCCCAGGUUUCUUAUUUCAGGAGCUUCAUAGGCAUAGACCUCCCUCCUUCCCUCCUACCCCCUCCCCCCUCUCCCAACUAAUGCCAGACCGGCCACUACUUUUUAACUGUUUUACAUAUUUAACCUUCAAGAAAGAUUUCCUUUGAUCCAAGUGUAUUGCAGCCCACAAAAAAGCUUGGAAACCCAGCUAGAUGGUCUGUUUUUCUAGUUCCUACAUUGGAUUUAAGUCCUACCCAUCGAGACUACUGUCUUCAGAGGGCAUCUUCAUGUGUGGGCACCAGGGCUGCGGCUGGAACCACAGUGGACACCCCACGCUCCAAGGACAAUCCUCUGCAGAAACCAGCAGCUGGAAACAAUUCUUAAUGCUGCAGGAAGUAGUUAGGAGAAAACGACUGUGUAAGUCAGAGCUAAAACUGGAGUUCAAAAACCACAGAAAAUAUUUCCAAGGCUGUCUGUGAAGUGGGGAUGUCAAAAUACCAAAAAUUACAGCUUUGGAACUGCAGUGGAUGACCUUUAAUUGAUGCAGUUUAUAGGUGCUAAGUAUUGUGUGUGCUUUACGUUGCCUCAUGUGAGUGCUUCAUAGCAGGGUGUGACGCUGGCCAAGUGAUAUACCUACCCUCUUUGUCCCUGUUUCUAUCAACUGUAAAAUGGGGGUUCUAGAGUUGUUGUGAAGAUUAAAUGAGCUAAUACACACAAA
ensembl:lncRNA LINC00921 long intergenic non-protein coding RNA 921